AUUUUUAAUUGAAAUCUGGAAUGAAUGGUUGAAUGAGAUAUUAACUAUUUUUUAAUGAUUUUUUGAAUUUUAUUUUUUAGUUAAAAAGCUAAAAUUAUUAUAAGGGACGAGAAGACCCUAUAGAUUUUUAUAUAUAAAUUAUUUAUUUAAUAAAUAUAAUUUAUAAAUUCAUAGAUUUAUUUAUUUUAUUGGGGUGAUAUAAAAAUUUAAAAAACUUUUAUUAUAAACAUUCAAUAAUUUUUGUAUAUUUGAUCCAAAUUAAUGAUUAAAAAUUUAAAUUACCUUAGGGAUAACAGCAUAAUUUUUUUAUAAAGUUCUUAUUUGUAAAAAAGAUUAU
rnacentral:rRNA from 1 species